rnacentral:rRNA from 1 species
AAGGUUUCUUCCGAGAUCAAAGUUUUCAUGUGGUUUUUGUAUAUGGAGGUAGUUCUCACCAAAGAUAACCUUGCUAAACAUAAUUGGCAUUGUAGCAAAAAUGUUGUUUUUUGUGAUGCAAAGGAGACAAUUCACCAUUUAUUUAUGUCAUGUCCAUUUAUUACCUUGAUGUAGCGCACGGUCCAUGUUACUUACAAUUUAGUACUGCCAAUGAGUAUUCAAAUUUGUUUGGAAAUUGGUUGA